GAUGAACGCUGGCGGCGUGCUUAACACAUGCAAGUCGAACGAAGCACCUUGAUUUGAUUCUUCGGAUGAAGAUCUUGGUGACUGAGUGGCGGACGGGUGAGUAACGCGUGGGUAACCUGCCUCAUACAGGGGGAUAACAGUUAGAAAUGACUGCUAAUACCGCAUAAGACCACAGCACCGCAUGGUGCAGGGGUAAAAACUCCGGUGGUAUGAGAUGGACCCGCGUCUGAUUAGGUAGUUGGUGGGGUAACGGCCUACCAAGCCGACGAUCAGUAGCCGACAUGAGAGGGUGACCGGCCACAUUGGGACUGAGACACGGCCCAAACUCCUACGGGAGGCAGCAGUGGGGAAUAUUGCAAAAUGGGGGAAACCCUGAUGCAGCGACGCCGCGUGAGCGAUGAAGUAUUUCGGUAUGUAAAGCUCUAUCAGCAGGGAAGAAAAUGACGGUACCUGACUAAGAAGCACCGGCUAAAUACGUG
rnacentral:rRNA from 1 species